rnacentral:rRNA from 1 species
AGUUCGAUCAUGGCUCAGAUUGAACGCUGGCGGAUGCUUACAUUGCCGCAAGUCGAACGGCAGCACGGACUUCGGUCUGUGGCGAGUGGCGAACGGGUGAGUAAUGUGGUAUCGGAACGUGCUCAGUAGGCGGGGGAUAACUACGCGUAGUAGCUAAUACCGCAUACGCCCUUCGGGGGAAAGCGGGGGGACCUUCGGGCCUCGCACUAUUAGAGCGGGCCGAUAUCGGAUUAGCUAGGUUGGUGGGGUAACGGCUCAAUACACGAUCCGUAGCUGGUUUGAGAGGACGACCAGCCACACUGGGACUGGAGACACGGCCCAGACUCCUACGGGAGGCAGCAGUGGGGAAUUUUGACAAUGGGGGAAACCUGAUCCAGCCAUCCUGCGUGUGCGAUGAAGGCCUUCGGGUUGUAAAGCACUUUUUGGCAGGAAGAAACGGCACGGAUAAUACCCGUGCAACUGACGGUACCUGCAGAAUGUUGUUCGGCUAACCACGUGCCAGCAGCCGCGGUAAUACGUAGGGUGCAAGCGUUAAUCGGAAUUACUGGGCGUAAAGCGUGCGCAGGCGGUUCCGAAAGAAAGAUGUGAAAUCCCAGAGCUUAACUUUGGAACUGCAUUUUUAACUACACGAGCCAGAGUGUCAGGAGGGAGGUGGAAUUCCGCGUGUAGCAGUGAAAUGCGUAGAUAUGCGGAGGAACACCGGAUGGCGAAGGCAGCCUCCUGGGAUAACACUGACGCUCAUGCACGAAAGCGUGGGGAGCAAACAGGAUUACUACCCUGUAAACAACACCCCAAACGAUGUCAACUAGCUGUUGGGGCCUUCGGGCCUGCAGCGCAGCUAACGGCGGAAGUUGACCGCCUGGGGAGUACGGUCGACAAAACUCCAAAGGAAUUGACGGGGACCCGCACAAGCGGUGGAUGAUGUGGAUUACUUGUUCGAUGCAACGCGAAAACCUUACCUACCCUUGACAUGUCUGGAAUCCCGAAGAGAUUUGGGAGUGCCGCGGUAGAACCGGAACACAGGUGCUGCCAUGGUCAUCGUCAGCUCGUGUCGUGAGAUGUUGGGUUAAGUCUCGCAACGAGCGCAACCCUUGUCAUUAGUUGCUACGAAAGGGCACUCUAAUGAGAUCGCCGGCGACAAACCGGAGGAAGGUGGGGAUGACGUCAAGUCCUCAUGGCCCUUAUGGGUAGGGCUUCACACGUACAAUGGUCGGGACAGAGGGUCGCCAACCCAGAGGGAGCCAAUCCUGAUGAAACCCGAUCAACAGUCCGGAUCGCAGCCCGCAACUGACUGCGCGGAAGUCGGAACCGCUAGUAAUCGCGGAUCAGCAUGUCGUGGUGAAUACGUUCCCGGGUCUUGUACACACCGCCCGUCACACUACAUGGGAGUGGGUUUUACCAGAAGUAGUUAGGCCUAACCGAGGGCGAUUACCACGGUAGGAUUCAUGAUCAGUGAAGUCGUAACAAGGUAGCCCUGUUACUACCCGGCACUUA